rnacentral:ncRNA from 1 species
AAGGGUAGAAGAUGUAGCGAAGCCCAUUCUGUUUAGCGAUGAAAUUACAGAUAAAUUAGCUACAAUGGGCAUGGUUUAAUCGCCGGAGUUAGAUUCCGGAUAGCUGCGAAAGUGGCGGGAUUAUAUAGGUAUAUUAGCAAUAAUAUAACAAGUAGGGCAUGGAUUAAGACGCUUGAUAAUAUAUACAGCUGUAGAAAGCUGACUUUAAAUA